ensembl:lncRNA
GUUAUGUACCUCCUUGAAUGGCAGGCAGUGGGGAUGGAUGGUCAUUGGAGCUGUGUCUUGAAACAGGCUAUUGUGUUGCCCUAAACUUGAAGGAAGAUGGCAGCAGAGGGGCACUCUGACAGAAUGGUGUUUGACAUGUGUAUGGGAACUGUUGAAUCACGGCCUGAACCUCUGAUUGACCACCUGAGGCGAGUGCUGAGUCAUCUGCAGGGGCACAGGUGAAAGCAAUUUCACCUGAGUGACCGGAAGACUGGUCACUCUGAGGCUGACUCCCAAGGAGGAAGGAUCUUUCUCUGGAGAUCACUCCCCUUGGGACCCUUCUGCGAGCCCAGGACACAGCUUUGAAAACCACCAAUGUAUUCCUCAG